rnacentral:rRNA from 1 species
AGAGUUUGAUCCUGGCUCAGGAUGAACGCUAGCGGCAGGCCUAAUACAUGCAAGUCGAACGGGAUUUAUGAGAGCAGCAAUACUUUUAUAAUGAGAGUGGCGCACGGGUGCGUAACGCGUAUGCAACCUACCUGUAACAGGGGGAUAGCCCCUCGAAAGAGGGAUUAAUACCGCAUAGUAUAAUUUGGUGGCAUCAUUAAAUUAUUAAACUAUUAGGGUUACAGAUGGGCAUGCGUGACAUUAGCUAGUUGGUAAGGUAACGGCUUACCAAGGCAACGAUGUCUAGGGGAUCUGAGAGGAUUGCCCCCCACACUGGUACUGAGACACGGACCAGACUCCUACGGGAGGCAGCAGUAAGGAAUAUUGGUCAAUGGGCGGAAGCCUGAACCAGCCAUGCCGCGUGCAGGAAGAAAGCUCUAUGGGUUGUAAACUGCUUUUGCAAUGGAAUAAACCUGGUUACGUGUAAUCAGCUGAAUGUACAUUGCGAAUAAGGAUCGGCUAACUCCGUGCCAGCAGCCGCGGUAAUACGGAGGAUCCAAGCGUUAUCCGGAUUUAUUGGGUUUAAAGGGUGCGUAGGCGGCUAUAUAAGUCAGAGGUGAAAGACGACAGCUCAACUGUCGCAGUGCCUUUGAUACUGUAUAGCUUGAAUACAGAUGAAGUAGGCGGAAUGUGGCAAGUAGCGGUGAAAUGCAUAGAUAUGCCACAGAACACCAAUUGCGAAGGCAGCUUACUAAACUGAUAUUGACGCUGAGGCACGAAAGCGUGGGGAUCAAACAGGAUUAGAUACCCUGGUAGUCCACGCCCUAAACGAUGAUAACUCGAUGUUAGCGAUACACAGUUAGCGUCCAAGCGAAAGCGUUAAGUUAUCCACCUGGGGAGUACGCCGGCAACGGUGAAACUCAAAGGAAUUGACGGGGGCCCGCACAAGCGGAGGAGCAUGUGGUUUAAUUCGAUGAUACGCGAGGAACCUUACCCGGGCUUGAAAGUUAGUGAAUGAUACAGAGAUGUGUCAGUGAGCAAUCACACGAAACUAGGUGCUGCAUGGCUGUCGUCAGCUCGUGCCGUGAGGUGUUGGGUUAAGUCCCGCAACGAGCGCAACCCCUAUGUUUAGUUGCCAGCACGUUAAGGUGGGGACUCUAAACAGACUGCCUGUGCAAACAGCGAGGAAGGUGGGGACGACGUCAAGUCAUCAUGGCCCUUACGUCCGGGGCUACACACGUGCUACAAUGGGCAGUACAGAGGGCAGCAAGCUGGUAACAGUAAGCCAAUCUCAUAAAGCUGUUCACAGUUCGGAUUGAGGUCUGCAACUCGACCUCAUGAAGUUGGAUUCGCUAGUAAUCGCGUAUCAGCAAUGACGCGGUGAAUACGUUCCCGGGCCUUGUACACACCGCCCGUCAAGCCAUGGAAGCUGGGGGUACCUAAAGUCGAUAACCGCAAGGAAUUGCCUAGGGUAAAACUAGUGACUGGGGCUAAGUCGUAACAAGGUAACC